GGCCACCAUAUACUGAUCCCCAAUUAAACACAAAAGUUAAACACAAUUUAAUACAAAAGUUAUCCUGUGGUUAUCCCAGUGAACUGUAAGGGAACUGGAACGAUAACUUGGCCGCCAUCUUUGAAGUCACUCAUGAUGGCCGCCAUGUACGCAUGGAGUGGGAAAUACGCCACCGAAAAGACAUCUGUUUUUGAGCACUAAAUAGCUGUAUUUCAACAAGGAAAAAAGCUAAAAACUUUCAACAAUACCUGAAAUUUAAUACAAAACGUGUUUCCAGAACGUAGAGCAGUUCUAAAGUUAUUUUUUCAGGAGUCAAUUAAGUGCGACGUUUUUAUCGGCACGUUUAAAUUUGUGUAAUAUUUUGAAUAUCAAGCUGUUACCCAGAAAGUUUUUGCUGUUAGUGGGUGUAAAAUACUUAGAACUAUCCAGGAAAUCAGGACAGUAUUACAGUAUUCGUUGCUAUACAUAUAUAUAUGCAUGCUGAAUUUCAACUGCAUUCAUAUCA